rfam:Eutrema salsugineum unplaced genomic scaffold scaffold_24, whole genome shotgun sequence.
AAACCGUGAUGAGGGCAGUCUCUCUCAUACUCUUUAAAUCACUUCGAGGCUUCAUAGAAUGAUUCUAUUGGGCCUUGUUAGAAACUUUGUAUCUUGUUCCUCAGUUG